AGAGUUUGAUCCUGGCUCAGAUUGAACGCUGGCGGAAUGCUUUACACAUGCAAGUCGAGCGGCAGCGCGGGGCAACCUGGCGGCGAGCGGCGAACGGGUGAGUAACACAUCGGAACAUGUCCAUUCGUGGGGGAUAGCCCGGCGAAAGCCGGAUUAAUACCGCAUACGCCCUGUGGGGGAAAGCGGGGGACUUGGCAACAGGCCUCGCGCGAAUGGGUUGGCCGAUGUCCGAUUAGCUAGUUGGUGGGGUAAAGGCUCACCAAGGCGAUGAUCGGUAGCUGGUCUGAGAGGAUGAUCAGCCACACUGGGACUGAGACACGGCCCAGACUCCUACGGGAGGCAGCAGUGGGGAAUUUUGGACAAUGGGGGCAACCCUGAUCCAGCCAUUCCGCGUGAGUGAAGAAGGCCUUCGGGUUGUAAAGCUCUUUUGUCCGGAGCGAAACGGGUGGUGUGAAUAGCGCCAUCUACUGACGGUACCGGAAGAAUAAGCACCGGCUAACUACGUGCCAGCAGCCGCGGUAAUACGUAGGGUGCGAGCGUUAAUCGGAAUUACUGGGCGUAAAGCGUGCGCAGGCGGUUUUGUAAGCCAGAUGUGAAAUCCCCGGGCUUAACCUGGGAAUGGCAUUUGGGACUGCAAGGCUUGAGUGCGGCAGAGGAGACUGGAAUUCCUGGUGUAGCAGUGAAAUGCGUAGAUAUCAGGAGGAAUACCGAUGGCGAAGGCAGGUCUCUGGGCUGACACUGACGCUCAUGCACGAAAGCGUGGGGAGCAAACAGGAUUAGAUACCCUGGUAGUCCACGCCCUAAACGAUGUCGACUGGUUGUUGGGGGUUUGACACUCUCAGUAACGAAGCUAACGCGUGAAGUCGACCGCCUGGGGAGUACGGCCGCAAGGUUAAAACUCAAAGGAAUUGACGG
rnacentral:rRNA from 1 species